UCUCAGCUUCUCCAGAAAAUGAAGCUCAGUUUUCAUUCCUCAUGUGUCACUUUGAGAAGUACGGAGCUCUGGCUUCAAAGAUGUCACUCGGUUUCACGAUGUGAUGCAAUUUACUGAACUAAAGCAAUCCAGGGACUCCCAGAAACUUAGUCUUCUGUUAAGAGCAUCCACUACCAGAGCAGCGAUGAAUGGUUACAAGAACUAGACAGCCACUGAUCCUCAACUCCAUCAGCUGAUGAAUGGCCUAUUGAGAGUACUUUCUUAUGCUUCUCAACCCUUA